GUUAAGCGACUAAGCGUACACGGUGGAUGCCCUGGCAGUCAGAGGCGAUGAAGGACGUGCUAAUCUGCGAUAAGCGUCGGUAAGGUGAUAUGAACCGUUAUAACCGGCGAUUUCCGAAUGGGGAAACCCAGUGUGAUUCGUCACACUAUCAUUAACUGAAUCCAUAGGUUAAUGAGGCGAACCGGGGGAACUGAAACAUCUAAGUACCCCGAGGAAAAGAAAUCAACCGAGAUUCCCCCAGUAGCGGCGAGCGAACGGGGAGCAGCCCAGAGCCUGAAUCAGUGUGUGUGUUAGUGGAAGCGUCUGGAAAGGCGCGCGAUACAGGGUGACAGCCCCGUACACAAAAAUGCACAUGCUGUGAGCUCGAUGAGUAGGGCGGGACACGUGGUAUCCUGUCUGAAUAUGGGGGGACCAUCCUCCAAGGCUAAAUACUCCUGACUGACCGAUAGUGAACCAGUACCGUGAGGGAAAGGCGAAAAGAACCCCGGCGAGGGGAGUGAAAAAGAACCUGAAACCGUGUACGUACAAGCAGUGGGAGCACGCUUCGGCGUGUGACUGCGUACCUUUUGUAUAAUGGGUCAGCGACUUAUAUUCUGUAGCAAGGUUAACCGAAUAGGGGAGCCGAAGGGAAACCGAGUCUUAACUGGGCGUUAAGUUGCAGGGUAUAGACCCGAAACCCGGUGAUCUAGCCAUGGGCAGGUUGAAGGUUGGGUAACACUAACUGGAGGACCGAACCGACUAAUGUUGAAAAAUUAGCGGAUGACUUGUGGCUGGGGGUGAAAGGCCAAUCAAACCGGGAGAUAGCUGGUUCUCCCCGAAAGCUAUUUAGGUAGCGCCUCGUGAAUUCAUCUCCGGGGGUAGAGCACUGUUUCGGCAAGGGGGUCAUCCCGACUUACCAACCCGAUGCAAACUGCGAAUACCGGAGAAUGUUAUCACGGGAGACACACGGCGGGUGCUAACGUCCGUCGUGAAGAGGGAAACAACCCAGACCGCCAGCUAAGGUCCCAAAGUCAUGGUUAAGUGGGAAACGAUGUGGGAAGGCCCAGACAGCCAGGAUGUUGGCUUAGAAGCAGCCAUCAUUUAAAGAAAGCGUAAUAGCUCACUGGUCGAGUCGGCCUGCGCGGAAGAUGUAACGGGGCUAAACCAUGCACCGAAGCUGCGGCAGCGACGCUUAUGCGUUGUUGGGUAGGGGAGCGUUCUGUAAGCCUGCGAAGGUGUACUGUGAGGUAUGCUGGAGGUAUCAGAAGUGCGAAUGCUGACAUAAGUAACGAUAAAGCGGGUGAAAAGCCCGCUCGCCGGAAGACCAAGGGUUCCUGUCCAACGUUAAUCGGGGCAGGGUGAGUCGACCCCUAAGGCGAGGCCGAAAGGCGUAGUCGAUGGGAAACAGGUUAAUAUUCCUGUACUUGGUGUUACUGCGAAGGGGGGACGGAGAAGGCUAUGUUGGCCGGGCGACGGUUGUCCCGGUUUAAGCGUGUAGGCUGGUUUUCCAGGCAAAUCCGGAAAAUCAAGGCUGAGGCGUGAUGACGAGGCACUACGGUGCUGAAGCAACAAAUGCCCUGCUUCCAGGAAAAGCCUCUAAGCAUCAGGUAACAUCAAAUCGUACCCCAAACCGACACAGGUGGUCAGGUAGAGAAUACCAAGGCGCUUGAGAGAACUCGGGUGAAGGAACUAGGCAAAAUGGUGCCGUAACU
rnacentral:rRNA from 1 species